UUUCAGUUUCCCAUGGUGUGCUCAAUAGAGAUCAAGUAGAAAGUAUAAAAAGAGAGAAUGGAAAUUUAUAUUGUUUGCCCUGGCUUGGGCGAACCAAUAGUGGCGGCAGCAGGAGGCUCUUCCCACCUGCCUGGAUGUCAUCAUGGAUGCUCUGUGCAUGCACAGAAGGGUCGUGUGCAAGUGUGCUCCCAAUUUUGAACCGGUAACAAAGCCACCAUCUAGAAGACACUGGGAGAUCCAUUUGCACAUCUCUAAUGCCAUGUCUCUGACCCUGAAUAAAAUAUAUUCCUGACAUAAUACAUGUCAGCACUCAACAGAAGCCUGGGAGCUGCAUCCUCGAAACUCUUAAAGGACAGCUUAUUGACUGCAGCACCAGAAGGCAAGACAAGAAACAAAGGAUGGGAACUAAUCAAGGAGAGAAACAACCUGGAAUUAAGGAGAAACUUCCUAAAAGUGAGGACAAUUAACCAGUGGACAGCUUCCUACCAGAAGUUGUGGGUGCUUCAUCACUGGAGGUUUUAAAGAAGAGACUGGACAGUCACUUGUUUGAAACGGUAUAGGUUCUCCUAUACCAAAGUCCCUUCCAGCUCUAUUCUGAUUGAUACAUUUAAACAAGGAACAUGGCUAAAUCAUUUUUAACAUUGGGAAUUUAGAUUUGAUGUAGAGUGAGCAUCCUCUUUCAUAACAUAAAGUGGCCUUACCUUUGUUCCAUGCUUCUGAGGAACAACAGCAGUACAUCCUGCAUAACAUGGAGAAAAAUACUGGACUUCAUCUGCACCACAGAUGGGCAAAAAGUCUGAACGCAAACAUCUACAAUGGGCAUUGCAGGGUGCUGUUAAGUUUAAUAAUGUACCUGUCCUGAAACAGAGAAAUAAUAUAUAGAUGAAAUGAAAACACUUUCCAUAAUAGCGUAUUGUCAUUCAUUAAUAACAAUGAACAAUUGGAGCUAAAUAUUUCUAAAGUCACUGCAAUGUGCAUGCGAGGAUUUUUUAAAAAAUUAUAUUCUUCAUUUCAUAAAGAAAUGGGAGACUACUGAAGUUCAUGGAGAUAAUUUCUAGGUAGCCCUUGACUUAUGAUGGCAAUUGAGACUGGAAUUUUUAUUGAUAAGCAAUGUGGUCAUAAAACAUAAUGUCACAUGACCACACUACUUAACAAUGACAAUACCUACAGUCCAUCUUGUCAUUGUUAAGUGAGGAUCAUGAAUCAUUAAGUGAGCAUCUCUCACAAUUUCCUACUGGCUUCCAACAAGCAAACUCAGUGGAGAAGCCACCAGGAAGUUGCAAGUCUCAGGCAGUUAGCAAAGCAGGCCAGCAAGCAGCUGGUGGCUGCUGCAAGAUGGGGGCAAGAGGAUGAAUUGGUGGCUGGGAAGGUGUGGCACGAGUGAGGCAGGGCUUGGGAUAACUGCUGCUGGGUGGGAGACGGUAUAUAAGAAACUGCAAAUAGCCAGAGAGGCCAAAAUGAGCACAGGAACGCUCGCAAGAGGGGGGUAAGAGUAUGUGGGUGGCAGGGGAGGCAUGGCAUGAACAUAGUGGCGAUUGGAGUGGCUGCUGCUGGGUGGAGGAGAGUGUGUGAAGGUGGACGUAUGGCUGGGAAAGUUCGGAUUGAGUGCAGCAAGAUUCAGGGAGAGUGUGUGGAUGUGGGAGACAUACCUGAGCACUUGCAACCCUUCCUUUUCCAAUAGGAAAGCCAGCAGGGAAGGUCACAAAUGGUGAUCAUAUGAUCACUGCAACUGUCAUAAGUACAAAUCAGUUGCCAAGUGCCCAGAUUGUGAUCACAUGACUGUGGGUAUAUAGGUAGUCCUUGGAUUACAACAGUUCAUUUAGUGACCAUUCAAAGUUACGACAGCACUGAAAAAAGUGACUUGGGACAAUUUUUCAUACUUACGACCAUUUCAACAUUGCCAAAACUCAGAUGCUUGGCAACUGGCUAUUAUUUAUGAGGGUUGCAGUGUCCCAAUGAUUACCUUUUCUAAUCUUCAGACAAGCAAGUCAAUGGGGAAGCCAGAUUCACUUAGCAACCAUGUUACUAAGUUAACAAUGGCAGUGAUUCAAUUUAACAUCUGUGGCAAGAAAGGUCGUGAAAUGGAGCAAAAUUCACUUAACAAAUGUUUUGCUUAGCAACAUAAAAUUUUGGGCUCGAUUUUGGACUACUGGUAUUGGGACAGCUUUUAACUCCCACCUGUUCAGCUUUGAAUGGAUGCUGAAGGAGGGAUUGUUAACUGAGCACUACCUGCAGUGUCAUUGGGAGAAUGAAUGUGGACUAAUUUACAAAACAAGCAUGUGAAUGAAAACUGAAUUGAUUCACAAAAACAAUAAGCUCUGAUGAUGUAUAAUGAAUAGUUGUAGUUGUUUUAUUUGUCUUAUGUCUUCUACUUUUUCUUAUUUGUUUUCUAUGCUUUGCAUGAUACCACUUUUCUCAUAAAGACAAUGUGAUGGAAAUAUAUCCAUCACAUAAAAUAUAAUACUGUUUUCAUCAACAUCAGUAUGAACAAUUUUGAUUUUAUGUUUAUCUUAUGUUAUCUCUGAGAUGUAUAAAAAUAUAAAACAUAAAAUGAA